GACGAACGCUGGCGGCGUGCCUAACACAUGCAAGUCGAGCGAGGAGAUUCCUUCGGGAUGAUCCUAGCGGCGGACGGGUGAGUAACACGUGGGCAACCUGCCUCAUAGAGAGGAAUAGCCUCCCGAAAGGGAGAUUAAUACCUCAUAACAUUGCAGUUUCGCAUGGAACAGCAAUUAAAGGAGCAAUCCGCUAUGAGAUGGGGCCCGCGGCGCAUUAGCUAGUUGGUGAGGUAACGGCUCACCAAGGCGACGAUGCGUAGCCGACCUGAGAGGGUGAUCGGCCACAUUGGGACUGAGACACGGCCCAGACUCCUACGGGAGGCAGCAGUGGGGAAUAUUGCACAAUGGGGGAAACCCUGAUGCAGCAACGCCGCGUGAGUGAUGACGGUCUUCGGAUUGUAAAGCUCUGUCUUUAGGGACGA
rnacentral:rRNA from 1 species